rnacentral:rRNA from 1 species
AUUGAACGCUGGCGGCAGGCCUAACACAUGCAAGUCGAGCGAGUGGCGGACGGGUGAGUAAUGUAUAGGGAUCUGCCUGAUGGCGGGGGAAAACUACUGGAAACGGUAGCUAAUACCGCAUACCAUCAGUUGAAGCCAUCUGGGAUUAGCUAGUGGGUAAGGUAACGGCUUACCUAGGCGACGAUCCCUCGCUGGUCUGAGAGGAUGAUCAGCAACAUUGGGACUGAGACACGGCCAAGACUCCUCCGGGAGGCAGCAGUGGGGAAUAUUGCACAAUGGGCGAAAGCCGGAUGCAGCAAGGCCGCGUGUAUGAAGAAGGCCUUCGGGUUGUAAAGUACUUUCAGUCGGGAGGCGUUACCGACAGAAGAAGCACCGGCUAACUCCGUGCCAGCAGCCGCGGUAAUUC